AGUUUUGCACAGUGGCAGUAUUGCAGCCAACGAGAUUUAUCCGAGGUGUGAUUAUUGCUAAUUGAAAACUUUUCCCAAUACCCCGCCAUGAUGACUUGUAAUAUAGUCAGCAUUGGCAAUUUUUGAUGGUCACUACGAGGA